AACGAACGCUGGCGGCAGGCUUAACACAUGCAAGUCUACCAAGAAUCACUUCGGUGAGGAAUGGUGGCGAACGGGUGAGUAACACGUGGGUGAUCUGCCCUGCACUUUGGGAUAAGCUUGGGAAACUGGGUCUAAUACCGAAUAUGACCACUUCUUGGAUGUUGUGGUGGAAAGCUUUUGCGGUGUGGGAUGAGCCUGCGGCCUAUCAGCUUGUUGGUGGGGUAAUGGCCUACCAAGGCGGCGACGGGUAUCCGGCCUGAGAGGGUGUACGGACACAUUGGGACUGAGAUACGGCCCAGACUCCUACGGGAGGCAGCAGUGGGGAAUAUUGCACAAUGGGCGCAAGCCUGAUGCAGCGACGCCGCGUGGGGGAUGAAGGCCUUCGGGUUGUAAACUCCUUUCGCUAUCGACGAAGCCACUUGUGGUGACGGUAGGUAGAUAAGAAGCACCGGCUAACUACGUGCCAGCCGCCGCCGUAA
rnacentral:rRNA from 1 species